AACGAACGCUGGCGGCAUGCCUAAUACAUGCAAGUCGAACGAGAUCUUCGGAUCUAGUGGCGCACGGGUGCGUAACGCGUGGGAAUCUGCCCUUGGGUUCGGAAUAACUUCUGGAAACGGAAGCUAAUACCGGAUGAUGACGUAAGUCCAAAGAUUUAUCGCCCAAGGAUGAGCCCGCGUAGGAUUAGCUAGUUGGUGGGGUAAAGGCCCACCAAGGCGACGAUCCUUAGCUGGUCUGAGAGGAUGAUCAGCCACACUGGGACUGAGACACGGCCCAGACUCCUACGGGAGGCAGCAGUAGGGAAUAUUGGACAAUGGGCGAAAGCCUGAUCCAGCAAUGCCGCGUGAGUGAUGAAGGCCUUAGGGUUGUAAAGCUCUUUUACCCGGGAUGAUAAUGACAGUACCGGGAGAAUAAGCUCCGGCUAACUCCGUGCCAGCCGCCGCCGUAA
rnacentral:rRNA from 1 species